GGUGGAUAGGGGCAGGUCUGCUCAUUCACUGCUGCCUUCCCCGCAUCUGGUACCGUGCACACAGAAUAAGCCUAGCAGAAUGCCUGUGGAUGGACUGACCAAUGAAAGUAAUGAGGUGCUGGGACCCGAAGGCGAGUGGCAUGAGUCAUGAGGAGGCGUAGGUGGAGUUGGAGGUGGGAGGAGGAUGAUGUAGCAAAGGGCCAGGCGGGUUCAGGCACGUUCCUGGCGGAAGGUGCUCUGAUGCUGUGGAAGACAGUUUCUUCAUGGAUUCCAACUGCUUGAUUUGUGGGAAUGACUCAACCAUGCCUGUUCUCCCCCACCUUUGAUGAGGCAUCUGACACUGAGUUAAUUCAUUUGCAUGGUGUAGACUACAGUAAAUCCAGUGUUGGGACACUGUGUCAUCUUCUUUCUGAUUAUGAUGGUAACAAACGCUUGCCAUAGGAGACUGGAAAAAUCUAUCCUAUAGGAAUAUUGGAAAAUCUAUCCUGUAGGAAGAAAGAAAAAACUCACCUAAACUUGUACCAUACACUGUCAAAUCUGGGCACUUUUCCUUCUUUUUGUCUUUUUC
rnacentral:lncRNA from 1 species